rnacentral:rRNA from 1 species
GCCUACGGGGGGCAGCAGUGGGGAAUAUUGCGCAAUGGGGGAAACCCUGACGCAGCAACGCCGCGUGAAGGAAGAAGGUCUUCGGAUUGUAAACUUCUUUGAUUGGGGACGAUAAUGACGGUACCCAAGGAACAAGCCACGGCUAACUACGUGCCAGCAGCCGCGGUAAUACGUAGGUGGCAAGCGUUGUCCGGAAUUACUGGGGGUAAAGGGCGUGUAGGCGGGGAAGCAAGUCAGAUUGGAAAUUCCGGGUGUCAACCCCGGCGCUGCAUCUGAAACUGUUUCUCUUGAGUGCUGGAGAGGAAAGCGGAAUUCCUAGUGUAGCGGUGAAAUGCGUAGAUAUUAGGAGGAACACCAGUGGCGAAGGCGGCUUUCUGGACAGUAACUGACGCUGAGGCGCGAAAGCGUGGGGAGCGAACAGGAUUAGAUACCCUAGUAGUCG